AACCUUAUGGACCUGCGGGCGUAUACCUGCGGAAGGAUCAUUACCAGUACCACCGUCGCCUCCGGGCGUCGGUCUACUACCAACCCUUUGUCAUCCGACCUCGUUGCCUCCGGGUGCGACCCUGACCUUCGGGUCUCGCGUCUCCCCGGGUGGACACACAUCAAAACUCUGCAUAACUUUGUAGUCUGAGUAAAACUUUUAAUUAAAUUAAAACUUUUAACAACGGAUCUCAGAUCGGAA
rnacentral:misc_RNA from 1 species